GUGUGUGUGUGAGAGAGAGAGAGAGAGAGAGAGAGAGAGAGAGAAAUGUGUUAGGACACUGUUUCUUUCUUUCUUUCUUUCUUUCUUUCUUUCUUUCUUUUCUUUU
rnacentral:miRNA from 1 species